UGCGGCGCAGCGCCCCCUCCGCUCCGGUUGCGCACACUGCAGCGCUGCCGUGCUGACUGAGCGGGCUGAGCGGGUGGUGCUGAAGCUGGAGGAGAGCGGACCGAAUCCGGCGAUGCUGUGAUUUCCACAGCGCUGCUUCGCUCAGAGCCACCAAACCGGGGCGUUUUCCACCUCCACGGACAGCGGAGACGCGGAGAGAGGCUCACCAGGCAGCAGGAAGAUGGCGGAGAAGGUGGAGGCCGGUGCAUUGUCAGCCAAAAUGAUGACAUCACCAGCUUCUGAAAAGAAACUCCGGAGUAAUGGCCACACCUCCCCCGCCCACCACACGCCCAAUCACGGCAGCCCUAUUGCUGGGAAACAGACGGAGACGCUUCCUCCCCCAGAAAAGAAGCUGCAGACCAAUGGCCACGCCUCACCUGUGAGAAAUCCAGCCAAUAGCAGCAAUGGCCACACAGGUAAACAAUGUCUGGAGGGCUAUCUGAAGACGGAUGACCGGAUGCGUCUGGCGAAAGAGAGGCGGGAGGAGAGAGAGAGGAGUCUGGCGGCGAGGGAGCAGGCUAUAAUGGAGAAGGAGCGUCGUGCUCGGCUGCAGUAUGAGCGGACGGUGGAGGAGAGGUGGAGGCGUUUGGAGGAGCAGAGGCUGAAGGAGGAGCAGCGCAGAGCCGCCGUGGAGGAGAAGAGGAGGCAGCAGCUGGAGGAGGAAAAGGAGCGUCUGGAGGCCCUGAUGAGGAAAUCUCUGGAGCGCAGCCUGCAGCUGGAGAACAGAAACAAACGCUGGACAUGGGGAACCAGCGGAGGACAGGGUGACUGGGAGAAUGCCCUUCCCCCCUCUGCUGUCUCCGCCCUUCCCCAUGACCUCGCCGCCCCCUCUGCUACUGCCAGCGAAUCAGGCAACGUUCCCUCCAGUCCCCACAGGUCACCGUACCGUGGGUCGCCCAGCCGUCGCCGUGGCAACACCGAGGAGCUGGGAGGAGGGGUCAACACCCCUCCCAGCACCCCAAAGAAGGAGAGUUUGCGCAGAGAGAGGCGGCUCGGUUCUCCGGCUGCAGGAUCUCCCGUGAGACGACCCGAAUCUCCAGCUCACAUCAUCCGCCGCUCCGCUUCACCCUCAACACCAAAGUUGACUUCUCGGAGCCGUAAUCAGUCUCCUGUAACUGUCCGCCAGUACCCACUGUCCCCUCUGAGACAUAGACUGGCCACGCCCGUUGGUGAUGGCAGCAAGACCACCAAUAGAACACAAGGCCAAGAGGUUAAAGAUCAUGAUCUCGCAGAUAAAAAGCUCCUGAAAGCAGAUGAAGCUCCAAAAAAAAGCCCCGUCUCUGAGAGCCCAGGCACCACGGGGAAAACGGAGAGCCAGGCUAGAGCAGUGUCCGGCUCAGGGACCCUGGAGAAACGAAGCUGUACACAAUCAGAAAACCACAACAGCGCUGUUAAAGUGGGAAACAGUGGACAGAAGAGUCCAGGAGCGGAAAACCAUGAAAAGAAAAACGUGGGAACAGCGGAGAACCGGAGCCCGAAGAACAGCACGAACAACGUCACUGCAGAGAAGAGCACAGAUCGUUCACCUUCGGCCCCUGCUGGGAAGGCUGUUGCCGGGACGACAGAUGCGGAGGAGGCGUCUCGUCUGUUAGCGGAGAGACGGCGUCUGGCUCGGGUCCAGAAAGAGCAGGAGGAGCAGGAGAGGCUGAAAGCCGAGCAGCUGAAGGUCCAGAAGCGAGCGGAUGAGCGAGUGCGUGAGGAACAGGAGGAGCGGCGGAGGGAGGAGGAAGAGAAGGAGAGAGAUGUGGAGCGUCAGCGAAUGGAGAGAGAGCAGAUGAAGCAGCAGGAAGAACAGGAGAGACAGCAGAGGAAAAAGCGAAUUGAAGAGAUCAUGAAGAGGACGAGGAAGAGCGACGGGGAGAUGAAGAGAGACGACAGCCUGGAGCUCCAGUCGCCCCCGUCCCACCAACUCUCCCCACCAGGUGAAAUCCAGGUGAACUCAAAGGUGAAUGGUGAGGUAAAGACUCCACCCAGGAGCACCCAGGUGAAUACUCCAGUUCCUGUGCCAGUCCGCAAGCAGGAGAGUGCAGAGAAGAGAGUGGAGAGUUCCAGAGAGGGAGGAAACACACCUACAAAGGUGCAACUGAAAAGUCCCACAUCAAACGGACAGAUACAUGGUGAAAAACCUACAGAGCAGAAGGGGGAGAGAGGUCAGGCGAAGGAGGGCAGUGCCCAGGUGAGAAAAAACGAGUGUCCCGCAGUGCAGGUGCAGGUAACCCAGCUGAAGGUGACAGGUAAAAACAGUGUGCAAAAACAAGAGAACAGCCAGCUUCCAGUGCAGGACAGAGAGACAGGAGCUGCCAAGGUAAAAGCAGAAGCACCUGCCCAGGAAAAAACAUUUGUCCAGAUAAAAGCACCUGCCCAGGUAGAAGCACCAGUUAUGGUGAAGACAUUUGUCCAGGUAAAAGCACCUGCCCAGGGAGAGGCACCAGUUCAGGUGAAAGUACCUGUCCAUGUAAAAGCACCUGCCCAGGUGAAAGCACCUGUCCAGGUAGAAUUGCCUGCCCAGCUAAAAGCACCUGUCCAGGUAGAAUCACCUGCCCAGGCAAAAGCACCUGUCCGAGUAGAAUCACCUGCCCAGGUAAAAGCACCUGUCCGAGUAGAAUCACCUGCCCAGGUAAAAGCACCUGUCCGAGUAGAAUCACCUGCCCAGGUAAAAGCACCUGUCCGAGUAGAAUCACCUUCCCAAGUUAAAACAAGUGCCCAGGCAGAAUCACCUGUUCAGGUAAAGGUACCUUCUCAGGUACCAUCUUCCAACCCAGUCACCCAGAUGGUGAAACAGGAGCCCAGCAGCCAGGUGAAAAGCCCAGUGUCUGAGCAAGUGAAGGUCCAGCCUCCAGCUCAGGAUCGCACUGCGAAGACUCCAGACGGCCCCCUGGUGAACGGCCGAGGAAACCAGACACCAUCCCAAGUGACAUCAAAGCCGGUAUUGAAAGACAGCAGCCCCGCCUCCCUCCCCCCUUUACCUGUUUCCCGGGCUCCGCCUCCUCUCAUUAACCUGGAGCCUGUAGGGAAAAGGGGUGGAGCAAAUGAAGAUGAAGUUCAGUCGAUGGAAGUCAGCCCCGUGUCAAAAGAGGAGCUGAUCUCCAUCCCGGAGUUUUCUCCGGUGGCGGACGUGCAACAGAACGGAGUGAGUAACACACGGGCGCUGGAGGACCUGCUGGACCUGACGGGUCACGUGGCGUAUCCCAGAAUUCCACAGGGUGCCACCCUGGGAGACUGCAACAAAAACCUGAUUGAGGGGGUCUGCAGCCCCAGCGGCGACAACAAAAUCAUCUCCACCAGCCCCGCCUCCAAACUCAACAUUCAGUAAGGAGGAGGAGCUUAGAGAGGUGCGUCACUACAGAAGGAUGAUAUCAGAACCGUAUAGGUAGGAGUCAGUGACGGAGCGUCGAGUGUGGAUGAAGCAAGCGGAGCGGAAGAGGGAAGGAAGAGGAGGUUCUGGAAACUGACGGAUACUGAAUGUACUUUCAAUGCGUGAAUAUCUUCAGUGAACACACUUACCCAUCAGCCUCGCGCUCCUCAUACUACCACGUGCACAGCCGCAGCCGCAGUCUUACAGACCGACGUACAGUGAUGAUGAUGAUGAUGAUGAUGAUGAAUGUGCUAUUUCUUUAUCGCUAACAGAGAGCAGUAUUAGUGUGAGCUAGCUGUUAGCUGUGGGUAUGUAUGCGUGUUGUAUGUGCGCACAUGCGGUAUUUAUUUAUGUUUGUACUGGUAUGACUGGCUAAAGUGCUCACUAGGGACGUGAGAAACGUGGAGCAAUAACUCCUUAAACCACAUUUUACUCUCCCCCAAGUUUAGAAUAAGCCGAAUACGGUUCACCUUUAACCGAGAAAUAAACUCCAGUCUAAAGAGGCGUACGUCGUCCACCCCCCACUAGCGUUAGAGACCAUCCAUGUCGUAGUAGAUUUUAACCCUGAACAGUGUAAUAAAGCUGUUAUAACUCUCAUUAUAGAGUAGCUAGGCCAUAUUUCAUGCUAAUAGGCUACGAAAAAGGUUCCCUGCAUCGCAUUUGCAUUGUAGCCCCUCAAGUUUGCUUCGAAAUGCUUGUUUUCCCGGACAGCACUGUUUAGCGCUGUAUUGUAUGUAGCUGCGAUUUGAGUGAAAGGAAGAGUUACGCCAAAAAAUGCUAGCUAAUUGUUGCCAACAGUAGUUAAAUGUGAAUAGCCAUCGGUUAGCAUUAGCGUUCUCGCUAACCUUCCGUCAACGCCCUGUUGGCAUGUUUUGCUGGGCUGUUCCUUUCACUGGCACUGCAACAAGUAGGCCUGCUGAGUAUUACCACACUGAACGCUUGUCAAUCGCCCACGGCUGAAGGCCUCCAGGUCGCUGUUGGUGUUUAUUCUGAGUGAGUUUCCCUCCAGGCUGUGAGUAAAAAGUGCUUUAAACUGUUCCACAACCUGCACAUACACAAUCCUUCUGUAUAAACAGACAGUGGAGCCUCUCAGAUGCUUAUUUCUUCUCUAAACUUGGUAUUAAGGAAGGACAACGGACUUCAGUUUUCCUUUUGUAGUUAUUGUUGUGAGGUCAGGUGAGCUUUACAGAACGGUGGAAAAAAUGCUAUUAAACCUAACGAGGAACUGUGGAACGGACUCGGUUUAUAUCACAAUACCUACAUUUAGAGCCGGUUA